rnacentral:rRNA from 1 species
GACGAACGCUGGCGGCGUGCUUAACACAUGCAAGUCGAACGGAAAGGCCCUGCUUUUGUGGGGUGCUCGAGUGGCGAACGGGUGAGUAACACGUGAGUAACCUGCCCUUGACUUUGGGAUAACUUCAGGAAACUGGGGCUAAUACCGGAUAGGAGCUCCUGCUGCAUGGUGGGGGUUGGAAAGUUUCGGCGGUUGGGGAUGGACUCGCGGCUUAUCAGCUUGUUGGUGGGGUAGUGGCUUACCAAGGCUUUGACGGGUAGCCGGCCUGAGAGGGUGACCGGCCACAUUGGGACUGAGAUACGGCCCAGACGCCUACGGGAGGCAGCAGUGGGGAAUAUUGCACAAUGGGCGGAAGCCUGAUGCAGCAACGCCGCGUGCGGGAUGACGGCCUUCGGGUGGUAAACCGCUUUCGCCUGUGACGAAGCGUGAGUGACGGUAAUGGGUAAAGAGGCACCGGCUAACUACGU